ACCUUAAAUUCGGUUAUUAUUCCAGUUUGCUUUUCUCACUACUUGUUUUGUCGUUUCGCCCGGAAUUGUUCAGUUCCAUUUCGCAGAACGUGUUGGCAUUCUUUUAAAACGGGAUAGAAGUGGAACCGAUCGACAAAAAAUGGGAACGCAAACGCCCCCCUUUCACAUAUCAAAUGGAACGUGGCAGUCAUGUUGUCACAUUCUUCUAGCUUUUAAUCGAGAAGCAGGUGUUAAUUUUCACCAAUCAAAACAUGAUUGGGGAUUGAUGGAUGACUUGUGCCAGGGCUAUCGUCUUGCGUCUGCUAUAUGGGUAAGUUCCCUAACAACAUUUCUCGGGCAAAUCAUUUAAACUUGAUGUAAACGGAACAAAACCAAGGCAGUCGGCAUUGUUUGCCUUGAGUGGUUUUGACAGGUUUGGACGCUUUACCAUCUACGCCCCAAGUUUCCCAUCCGCCGUCAAUUGAGGUCAGCAUAACACGAAUCUUCCUUUCGAUUCCCCCUCCCCACUGCUUUUUCCAUAUGCAGAAUUCAAAGUUUCACGUCCCCUGUUCUUUACGACUUUGGAGAAAACAUUAGACAGUUAUUCUGACGUCGUCCCGUCUUAUGACCCCGCUUUCUGCGCAAACUCUUUACGAUUGGAAAGCGCCCAUGGAAAACGAGAAAUUUAAAUAUUUGAAUAUCGCAUUGUCUCAAUAAUUUUGGGGACAAUUCUUCUCACGCUCGCCAAUCGAAAUUUAUCACCAACUUGCUAUGCACUGAUGCCAAUGCUGUCGUUUUCCCAGCACCAUGUCCUAAUGUGUUCCGCUUGUGCGCUAUUACAAUAGAAGAGCGACCGUACUGCCAUCUAGGUAUCGAGGAAGAAAGCCGGCAAGUCCGGAUGAUAGAUGGAAACAAAGGACAUGAUGGCGUAGGGAGACCAUAUGAUGAAGAACGUUAGCACCAUUAGCACGUUCAGCUGUGAAGGUAAUGACAUUUUAUCCAGAAAAUAUUGAAUGUUUCGCAGAUAGAAAUAAAGGCAAUUAUUGAACAAGGUAAAAUGCGAUGAAUAUUUUCCGUGUAAAGUACCUUAAGAACUUGAAUUUCAAUCUUGUAAGUCCUUUGAUUCCUGUGCUGAUUCAAAUGGUCGAGUUCAAAAUUGAGGGCUGCAUCAAAGCAAAUGCGACUCAAACACGAUUUGUCCUCCUGUGCGAGACGGUAAUUGGAGAUUAGAAUAUGGCUGACUACACCAUCUUUAUUCAUUAAGAAGCGUGAUCACGGAAGCAUUCAACGUGAAUUCACUUGGCGCGUGCGAAUAAUUGCAAGGAAGAAAGUGGUGCGGUAGGAAAUUAAGGAAACGGACCUCUUCAUUGAGCAAAUCGGAAGACAAGGGCGGAGUGAGCGGAUCCAGUUUCAGUUGCGAAACACGCUUGUAAAUCUUGUGAUAACACACGCUCAUGAUGGACAGAUGAACGACGUAGCAAAAAAUGGUGGCCGCUAAAAGUAUAGAUGAUAAUACGUUAAAAGUUUUCGCUUCAAUUUGUGUCAACUCGAUAAAAAGAAAAAGACUUACAGAUUGAAUAACUUAGUCCGUUGUGGCUCUGGUCAUACCUAACCGGAUUUAAUAAAGCCAAAAAUAAUUAGCACUGCGCUGUUUCGUUAACAAUUCAACAAUCUUCCAGGCUAACUCGUGAAUAUUACAACAACCUCCACUUCAUCGCUGAAAGGACUUCCUCUAUUGGACUUACGAAGGUCAGAGUCUAUUCAAACAUUUACCAGUCGAAUGAGCACGAGGCUCCGAAGGGUUCGUAAGUGUACGCCGACCAACCGAACAACGGAGACAUGGUGAAUAUUAAAGCGUAGCCGACGGUGAAAAUGAUGCAAAUGCAGCUGAGGCGAGGAGUCAAGCGAUGUUCUGAGAAUUGAGAGAAAUGGAUCGAUUAUGUUUUAAUUGGAGGCUAAUCAUCGUGUCACAUGAUGAUGUAACGGAAUAUGGAAACAAUCACCAGCGUGUUGGCAGAAAUCUGUCACGAGGAAACAUGUGAUUGAUAAUCAGAAAAUUCAAACCAUGUACAGGAAUGCUCACCAUAGCCAACGUGAAACACGUGAAUGCGUAAAAUUUGCAAAAGAAAUCGCCAAAGACCCAAGUGCCCGAAAAGCAAGAAAUGAUGUUGAACCUAUUAUAGCACAUCACCGAAUAGAAAGAUUGACAUUUCAGAAUGAAAUGUUACAUCAGCGCGUCUUUAUUUUAGUGUGUUGAAAUCAGAAGAGCUUCAAUUGUCAUUACGGGUA